rnacentral:lncRNA from 10 species
CGAGGGGCCACUGCUGUCCAGGAGAAUUCCAGGCCCCAGGACCUCCAAGCAACUUCCUCUCCUUCAUCAGCAGUUGCCAGCAGUCAUCCUCUGGGCUCUGCCAGCAAGUUGGCAGCAGGGUAGGAUUCACACCCCUUGGCUUCUACCUCACAGUUACCACCAAAGGCCUUUCCAAUUUAAAAAAGCAAUUUUAGAAAUUGAACCAGAGGAAUAACCACCAUGUACAAAUCAAAAAGCAUAGAGGGGCUUAUAAUGAGAAGUUGUGCUCCUCUGUCCUACCUUAACUCCCUCUGAAAUCCAGGCUCCCUAUGAUCAAUCCCCUUGACCUUUCAGUUCUCUGGGUAGAUUUCUUUUCUUUUCUUUUCUUUCUUUCUUUCUUUUUUUUUUUUUGAGACAGAGUCUUGCUGUUGCCCAGGUUGGAGUGCAGUGGUGGGAUCUCAGCUCACUGCAACCUCCUCCUCCUGGGUUCAAAUGAUUUUCCUGCCUCAGCCUCCCGAGUAGCUGGGAUUACAGGUGCCCACCCUUACGCCUAGCUAAUUUUUGUAUUUUUAGUAGAGACAAGGUUUUACCAUAUUGGCCAGGCUGGUCUGGAACUCCUGACCUAACCGCCCACCUCAGCCUCCCAAAAGUGCUAGGAUUACGGACAUGAGCCACCAUGCCUGGUCUGGGUAGAUUUUUUUUCUUUUGAGAUGGAGUCUCGUUCUUGUCGCCCAGGCUGAAGUGUAGUGGUGUGGUCUCCACUCACUGCAACCUCCGCCUCCCACGUUCAAGUGAUUCUUCUGCCUCAGCCUCCAGAGUAGCUGGGACUUACAGGCGUGCACCACCAUGCCUGGCUAAUUUUUGUAUUAUUAGUGGAGAUGGGGUUUCACCAUGUUGGCCAGCUGGUCUCGAACUCCUGACCUCAGAUGAUCCACCCGCCUUGGCCUUCCCAAGUGCUGGGAUUACAGGCAUAAGCCACCAUGCCCAGCCUGGGUAGCUUUCUUAUACUGCUCUUUCUUGUUUUAUCAACUUUCAUUUAAGCCCUGUGAUGGCAAAUGAGAGCCAAGCUCACUUAACCAUUUUCCCACCUCCAUUUUUG